rnacentral:rRNA from 1 species
AACGAACGUUGGCGGCGUGGAUUAGGCAUGCAAGUCGUACGCGAAAGAGGGGGCAACUCCUCGAGUAAAGUGGCGAACGGGUGAGUAACGCGUAGGAAACCUGCCUUCGAGAUGGGGAUAACACUCCUAACGGGUGCUAAUACCGAAUGACACUGCGGGAUCGCAUGGUUCUGCAGUCAAAGGUGGCCUCUGCUUGCAAGCUACCACUCAAAGAUGGUCCUG